rnacentral:snoRNA from 1 species
CCCCCCAUCUUCACUUUGCCACCUGGAGCCUGUAUGUCCUCAGUGGUCAUUCAUGUGGGGGAGAAUAGCUCAUCCUCAAGGCACCCCAGUCUAAAGCUGGUGUUUGGGCUUCGGGUUGUUUUGAGGAGACAUCA